rnacentral:rRNA from 1 species
GAUCAUGGCUCAGGACGAACGCUGGCGGCGUGCCUAACACAUGCAAGUCGAACGAAGCUUGACGAAUGAUUUCUUCGGAAUGAAAUCUGAUAUGACUGAGUGGCGGACGGGUGAGUAACGCGUGAGCAACCUGCCCUUCGGAACGGGAUAGUGUCUGGAAACGGACAGUAAUACCGUAUAACGUAUUUUUACCGCAUGAUAGAAAUACCAAAACUGAGGUGCCGAAGGAUGGGCUCGCGU